UCUCAAUGUAAGUGAAUUUUUGUUUCCAAGCCAGUAAUAAUUGCACCAUAUGUGUCUUUCUUUCUUUCUAGAUUUUCUUUUCUCCCCCCAUUUAGGUUUCAAAAGGUAAGUUCUCCUUUUUGUUAAUUUUAUUAAUCUAGUGGGAUGUGCAAAGCCCACUUGUACAUUUUACAUGCACUUGUCUCAGCAUUUUAUUGUAUUACAACAAAGUUUUAUCAAAUCUUAAAAUUUAGCUUGAACUGUCUGUAAUUUCUUCAACAGUUAGACGUAUCAAGUUCAUGGUCAACUUUCUUUGCCCCUCCUCAUGAAAACCCCUUCGCCUGGAGCUUUCAUUGUGCACAACUGUCUUUAAAUAUGAGCCAUGACCACAACAUAAAGUACAGAGAACUUAGAUAACACCUUCAUGACUUUCUAGUUUCAAAUUGUGGAAUGUGCAUUUUAAUGAUAAAAUAAAAAGUCAUAAAAGAAAAUUUUAUGUUAACAGGAUUGUCAUAUUCUGGUACUACGUAUUCAGUUUCUUCCUUUGAGAUAUUUGACAUUCUUAACAUUGAAGAUGCUUUAUCUAGAAUCUAGAUUAAGUACUAUAUCAUCCAUGUUUUCUUUCAAAAAUAUAAGUCUGAAAUAAGACUAGUUGCCCUGUCACACUUUGUUCCACUUGGUAUCCAAUAUACUCAAAUAAUUAAGCCUUAAUCCCACACUAGUUGGUAUCCAAUAUACUAAACAGAAAUUGUAGUGCUCAUACCAGCAUUUUUUAUUCUUUUGGGACUUAUUAUUCUGUAGUAAACCACUUUUACAUUUGCGAUUAUAGUGCUAUUUCAAAAACUGAUUUGUUUGUGAUUUUUUGUUCUGCAUUGAACUGCCUAUCUAUUUUCAACACCACUGCCCUAUUUCCUUUUUCUUCUUGUAGGAAUUUCCUUAUGGUGUUAUAAAAGGCUGUUGCCAUAUGAAUUCUAUGUGCUUUUGCUUGUUUUUGGUGGUUAACCACACUAAUGGAAAAUCUCAUAGAUGACUGUCUUCAUAAAAUCCAUACAUGACAGUGUAUGUUAAGCAUCAUGUAGUGAUUUUGUCCCCUG
rnacentral:misc_RNA from 1 species